AGGCUUGAUCCACUGCGCCCGGCCAAUUUUGUAUUUUUUUUAAUAGAGACAGGGUUUCUCCAUAUUGGUCAGGCUGGUCUCGAACUCCUGACCUCAGGUGAUCUGCCUGCCUCGGCCUCCCAAAGUGUUGGGAUUACAGGUGUGAGCCACUGCCCCCGGCAUUCCUGAUUUUUAAGAAACUAACAGAAGAAAAAUUACUUGGUAAAUGGUAUGUAUCAAAACCUUUCAACAGUCAUGCAUAAGUCAAGAUAUUUAAAGUAUUUCCAUUAAAGUCAGAAAAGCACAGUUCUCCUUGCUGUCACUGUCAGUGUUUCUCCAGACAUCCCAGCAAGGUGAGAGAACGGAAAAAGAGGGAAGGAGAUGAAUAUCAGAGACAGGCUUUAGUAGUUUGUUGAUGAUACAAUCAUCUGUGUGUAAAUCCAAGGAAAUCCCCUGAAGAACCCUGAGGACCAGCUGAAGAGUUCAGUCCAUGCCGGAUCCAGUGGUUUUCUCUACUCCACAAUAACCCAUCGGAGCGUGAGCCACAAGCCUCCACCUCCCUAUGAAAGAAUCACAAAACAAGCCGGAAGAGAAGUGUGUAAGGACCGCCUGAGGAAGAUGCUAAAAGAGGGCUGGAGUGCAGUGGUGUGAUCUCAGCUCAUUCCAACCUCCACCUCCCGUGUUCAAGUGAUUCUCCUUCCUCAGCCUCCUGAGUAACUGGGACUACAGUGGUGGAUAAUAUUCCAGUAUGGACGCACAACAGUUUAUUUACCCACUCAUCUACUGAAGGCCAUCUUAGUCGCUUCCAAGUUUUGGUAAUUAUGAAGAAAGCUGCUAUCAACAUCUGGGUGCAGUUUUUUGUGUGGGCAGGAGAUUUCGUUUAAACAACAGGGGGCAUGGCUGCUGGAUGGUUUGCCAAGAGUGUGUUUUGUGUUGUCAGCAGCCGCCAAGCUGUUCUCCACAGGGGUUGGAGGUUCUGCUUCCCACAGGAAUCAACCUGCGUUCCCUGCAUCUCCAGAGUGUGUCAGUGCUUGGAAUUAUGGCAGUUCUACGAGCUGCGUGUGGCGCCACAUGGUUUUACUUGCGUUUCCCUGAUGAUGUAGAUAGUUCUUCAGAUUCCUUCCUGGGGAAGACGUGAAGCAGCCCCAUCUGUCUGAGUGGCUGGACUGGGGGGAGCUGAGAGGCACGGUCACCACAGCAACAGCGAAAACCUCACACUCUUCCCUGGAGGAACCAGCCCUGCACUGGGAAAUGGCCGACCUCUUCCCCACCCUCUGCAGCCCCACUGCCCCCGUGGCUUCCCACUCCACCUCCACAUGAAAAUCCAAGGACUUCCUUGGCCUGCUCCGUCCCCAGCUACCAUCCAUCUUUUCUGUUUCGCUACACAGAAAAGCAAACAAAACAAUAGAAACUUAGCAAAAAGACUUUCCCCAUUUCCUCCUCUCCCUUCCCCCAAUGUCCUGACUUUUCUCCAUGGGCUCCAGGCAGCCCGUGCUCACUGAGUCUCCCCAACCCCAGUGUGCUGUCUGUAUCCCCAGCCAACCUGUGGGACACUCAAGGCUGGCACUGGCCCCCCACGAUCUGACACAGCCUCUGCUCUGUGUCACCACAGCAGCUACGCCUGUUCCGAGACGCCACCCCACCCCCCGCCAACCGAGCAGCCGCAGGCCUGCAGUCAUUCCUGACCCCUUCCUUUUCUCUGCAUCGUCACCCAAAUACAUCAGCAACUUAUUGUGGCUUUCUCUGAAUUAGUCUCCCACGGCUACUGCGGAAAUUAGCACAAUGAGGGUGGUGGCUUCAAACAAUAGAAAUGUACUCAGUUCCAGAGUCCGUAAGAGUCAUGCUCCCUCUGCAGGCUCCCAGGGAGAAGCACAGUCCAUUCCGUAUUGCUGCCACAGCACGCCACACACUGGGUGAUUUAUGAAGAACCCAGUUCUUCAUAACCCAGAACUUCGGCACAGUUCUGGGAGCUGUGGCAUUCAAGGUCACCACAUUGCCACCUGUGAAGGCCUUCUGCUGCAUCCGCACGUUGGGGAAGAGGAGGGAGAACCCGUGCUGGCCAGUCCUUUCACAGCAGCAUCGAUCCGUGCAUGGGGCAGGGCCCUCGGCCUGAGUGCCUCCCCCAGGCCCUAACUCCCAGCACUGCCCCACUGGGGAUGGAAUUUCCAACAUACGAAUCUGGGGGAUGCCUUCGGACCACAGCAGGGGAGCCUGCCCUGGUUUCCAGCUGCUGGUGGCCCAGGCUCUCCCUGGCUCGCCUCAAGGUUGCCUCCCUCCAGCCUCCAAUCUGUCCUCCGCUCUGUCCUCACCAGGGCCUCCCGUCUCAUCUUCAGUCUUCCUCUGCCUCACUUGUCAUGGGAUUUAGGCUCCACCCAGAUAUUCCAGGAUUAUUUCAUCUCAAAAUCCUUCACUCAAUUAUAUCUACAAAGAUCUUUUUCCAAAUAAGGUCCCACUUGUAGGCUCUGGGGGUGAGGACAUGGCUUAUCUUCUGGGGCCACCGCUGAGCCCACUGCUGCUCCAGAAAGCAUCUCAAGUCUGUCCACUUCUCCACCCUGACUGCCCCCACCACAGUCCUCCUCUUCUGCGACUCUUGGUGCUGGCCUCUCCUGUGUCCGUUUCUGCACAGCCUGAGCAAUUUUCAAAAACGACACCUCAGACCCAUGCUCCUGCCCACAGCCGCCAGUGCCUUCUCUCUCCACGCAGAGCUGGACCCUGCUGGCGCCUGCAUCUCCGUGGUGUCACCGCCUUGGGGGCUCACAGGGACCCACAUUGGCAUGUUUGUGAUGCACCCGCUGCCAAGGCCACCUCACGCCAGUAUUCCUUCAUCUCCUUACGCACCACAGCCUGGAAGGGUCCUCCCUCUCUCCAUCCGCCCAUGUCUCCCCUUGUGAAAUUAAAGCACAGAAUUUCUCAUUGCGAGGAAAACCUUUACCCUAUUUUAAAACAAUCUCAUCAUCCCCGCCCUAGUUCUCUCUUCCACUCACAGUGGCGUUCCACGUUCCCUGUAUCUGGGCAUCCUACAACCCUCAGGGCCAUCUCCUAUCCCGCUCCCUGGUGGAGCAGGGAAAACUGAUUUUUUUCUGGUUAAAAUCUCCAAAGUUGUUAAAAACAAAACGAAACUAAGCAAAGAAUCUUAGAAGUGUCACUUUUACAAAUAAGAGAGGACUUGUUAUGGUUUCUACUUAGGGAUCAACUGUUACCUCGUUAAAGGAUGAAAGGUUGAGUUUUUUGGCGAUAAACUUCUUUAGAUGCAAGACGGUCGCCUGGGCGGAGCAGCGGAUCCACUUCCGCUUCAGUCCCCGCAGUUUGCUGCUGUUACACUCCAGGCAGAUGCUCACCUGCAGGAAAGGACGCUGGUGAGAACACAGCAGAAGAGCUCCCCCGGACAGUUCUGGAGGCUUCUUUAGACAUAUUUCACUAAUUCCUCAAUCUAGGACUGCUGACCUUUUUGAGAUCAGACAUCUGCUUUGACUUCAACAGUGCAGAAAAAUAAUCUGACAUACCUUAUCUGAAAA